UGACACGAAACAGGUGUCAUUUCCCGUGCAGCCAAUAGGGCCACGUCGCUGACUUCUUCUCAAUCCUUGGAUCACGUCGCUGGCUUGCCAUCAGGCGUUGGAUCAAUGCUGAGGAGUCCGUGCAAUGUAAACCGGCCAUCUGUACUAGGGCCUAGGGCUCUACGUCUCUACAUCUCUCCAGAACCCUCCGGCAAACACUCAAGGCAUGUAGGGCAUGUUUUAAACCAGACUCUCCGGCAAACCCUCGAACAAAGAAGCUCCAGCAAACCCUUAAACAGAGAAGCGGGGACGUUCCAGGCCAACGAAGGAAUCAUCAGGAACAACGCAAAGGAGAAAAACCAAUCAAAUCAUCAGGCUCAAAGGUGGUCUGCCAUCAAUAAUGCAGGUCAAAAUCACUCCAUUUUUCAUGGCUUCGGCCAACAAAAUGAGCUCAGGCAUCUUCAUAUGGUACUAAUCGAUCAAAACAUAUACCAAGCUUGGCAAAAUCUGUAACUCCAAGAUAGUACUAGGUCACAAUGUCUUCUAAUACACCACAAUAGGUGGCUGCCCAUGCAAACAAUUUGACAGCAAGUAAAAAUCGGUGUAACAAACUAAUUAUUAUGCUUCAGCCGGCUCCACCCCACCAAAUCUCGCCGAUGGGAACCUUAACCUUGCCACCCAUGAAUCCAUGGAGGCCCAACUGCCCAAGGGGAUCGAAACAAGCUAAAACAAUUCGGCAUCUGAGAGGGAAACAAAAAGUUACUGCUGCUCGAUUUGGAUGGAGAGAGACCACCUAUUGCCCUUGUGCUCUGUGGACAGGGGAAGGGAGAUGGUGUAGGCAACGGCAAGGUUACCUACUGAUGUUAGCCUGCAAGUGAGAGAUCUACAUAAGCUUCCUGUUGCUGCAUUUGCUUACUGCUCUUUAUGCUGGAUGUAAUACUGCUCACAAAGUGACUAUUGCGAUUCCAUAAUACUAUAUAAUAUUUUAC